rnacentral:rRNA from 1 species
UACGUAGGGAGCAAGCGUUGUUCGGAUUUACUGGGCGUAAAGGGCGCGUAGGCGGCGUGUUAAGUCAGCUGUGAAAUCUCCAAGCUCAACUUGGAACGGCCAGCUGAUACUGAUGUGCUAGAGUGCAGAAGGGGCAAUCGGAAUUCUUGGUGUAGCGGUGAAAUGCGUAGAUAUCAAGAGGAACACCAGAGGUGAAGACGGGUUGCUGGGCUGACACUGACGCUGAGGCGCGAAAGCCAGGGGAGCAAACGGG